GAAAUGCGAUAAGUAAUGUGAAUUGCAGAAUUCAGUGAAUCAUCGAAUCUUUGAACGCACCUUGCGCCCUUUGGUAUUCCGAAGGGCAUGCCUGUUUGAGUGUCAUUAAAUUAUCAACCUUUGAACUUGUUUCGAGGCUUGGAUGUGAGGGCUUUGCUGGCUUCCUUCAGUGGAUGGUCUGCUCCCUUUAAAUGCAUUAGUGGGAUCUCUUGUGGACCGUCAACUUGGUGUGAUAAUUAUCUAUGCCAAUUUGUUGACUUUGAAGCAAAAUUGUGGGAACCUGCUUAUAACCGUCCCUUGUUGGACAAUACCUUGACAAUUUGACCUCAGAUCAGGUAGGACUACCCGCUGAACUUAA
rnacentral:rRNA from 1 species